CCUACGGGAGGCAGCAGUGGGGAAUAUUGGGCAAUGGGCGCAAGCCUGACCCAGCAACGCCGCGUGAAGGAAGAAGGCCCUCGGGUUGUAAACUUCUUUUGUCAGGGACGAAACAAAUGACGGUACCUGACGAAUAAGCCACGGCUAACUACGUGCCAGCAGCCGCGGUAAUACGUAGGUGGCAAGCGUUAUCCGGAUUUAUUGGGUGUAAAGGGCGUGUAGGCGGGGGCGCAAGUCCGAUGUGAAAACUCAGGGCUCAACCCUGAGCCUGCAUUUGAAACUGUGUUUCUUGAGUGCUGGGGAGGCAAUCGGAAUUCCGUGUGUAGCGGUGAAAUGCGUAGAUAUACGGAGGAACACCAGUGGCGAAGGCGGAUUGCUGGACAGUAACUGACGCUGAGGCGCGAAAGCGUGGGGAGCAAACAGGAUUAGAUACCCCAGUAGUC
rnacentral:rRNA from 1 species